GCUUCGCGGCCCCACCCCGCCCAGGUCUACCCCUCAGGGACCCAGGGCUUGAAGGCUCCGGGACUAAAGGAAAGUAGCCACAUCUGGCGAGCCGAAGGGUGCGGGGGGCCUGGUGUCAGGACCCAGCUGGAAGGGCUGGGGCGAGAGACAGUGAGCCACCGCCCCGCAGGACAUUGAAAAGGCAGGGAGAACCCAAUCGCCCGACCCCGCGCCCAGGUCUGUGCGCCCCAGCCGGAACGGGUCCAGCAGAUGGCGCCGGGCGCCAGGCCGGCGAGGGAUAUUCGCGAUGUAGAAGGCGUUCCAGGAUUUCCAGGCAGCCGUGGGUGCAGCUGGAUCCGGGGGAAAAACCGGGCCUGGAGCACCCUUGCCCUCCUGCUCCUUCCCCCUUCUUAGUUCGGAUUGGGGUCUAGGAUUGCGGGGGGGCGGCGCGGGGCGGGGAAAGGGAGGGAAGACGGGAACUGGAGUUUUGGGAAUCUGAGGAUUGGCUUUCGAAGGCAUCGCUGGUUUUUGGGGGGGAUGAGAGGCGGGGACUCCCUGGGGAAGGUGACCGGGCCUGGGAGGGGCUUC
rnacentral:lncRNA from 1 species